rnacentral:lncRNA from 1 species
AAAUUGUGAUUUUAAUAUUAGGGUUAAUUUCAUACAGGUCCCUAAAAAUAUAGCAAAUUAUAAAUAUACCUCUAUAAAGUUCAACUUUCAUAUAUUGUUUCUAUAAAAUUUCUAAUAUUUUCAAAUAUAUUUCUCUGAUUUGUUACCAUUAAAAUACUGUUUAUUUUAUAAAUAAAAAUGAUCUUUUUGUCAUCACAAAUAUAUCUUGUUAAUUAAAAAGGGAUAAAAUGGUCAGUUCACCUUAUUAACUAACCAAGAUUAAGCAUUUAACCUAUGGUUAACUAAAUUUGUCUAACGAAUUCUAACAGUAGAAAUAUAUAUGAAAACAUCAGGACUUCUGUAAAAAUAAUAUAUGAAAGUUAAACUUUAUAAAAAUAUAUUUAUAAUUUACUAUAUUCGUAGGAAUCUAUAUUCAAACUCUCCUUUCUCUUUUUCUCCUCAUUUUUUUCUCCGGAGUUUCACAACA